UACGGAGGGAGCUAGCGUUGUUCGGAAUUACUGGGCGUAAAGCGCACGUAGGCGGCUUUGUAAGUUAGAGGUGAAAGCCCGGGGCUCAACUCCGGAAUUGCCUUUAAGACUGCAUCGCUUGAAUCCGGGAGAGGUGAGUGGAAUUCCGAGUGUAGAGGUGAAAUUCGUAGAUAUUCGGAAGAACACCAGUGGCGAAGGCGGCUCACUGGUCCGGUACUGACGCUGAGGUGCGAAAGCGUGGGGAGCAAACAGG
rnacentral:rRNA from 1 species